GUGCAUGUAUGCCUGAGGUGAUCUGUACUUGUUCCAUGUAUCCACACUCACGGUGUGCAUGUAUGCCUGAGGUGAUCUGUACUUGUUCCAUGUAUCCACACUCACGGUGUACAUGUAUGCCUGAGGUGAUCUGUACUUGUUCCAUGUAUCCACACUCACGGUGUGCAGACCCAUGUGGGGAAACAAGUGGCUGGCUGUGGGCAGGGAGGAGGGAACGACUGUGAACAACUUCCUGUAUAACAAACUCCAGCUUUACCUGAAAACUGAACAUACUGUACAUGCACGCCUCCUAUCUGUUGGUUUUGGCAAUGCAUGAUGAUGGAUCUAUACCAUAGAUAAAAGGGUACAACUUAAUUUCAUUCCAGUUUGAAAAACAAAGCUGCCAAAACCUAUUCUUUCGCUUCCAUUUUACACAAGUUUGGCUCAAAGGAUUUUAUUUCUCCCUUCCAGAACUGGAGUAAGCCCAGCAGGUUGGACUUGUCUGUUUUCAUUGUACCAAAUGAUGACAAGUAACACCAGAAUUGAAAUGGAAUCAUGAAAUAGAAUAAUGAAAAACUUCAACACAAAUAGAUAGGUGAAUCCUGAAAAUCUGUUCCUUUCUUUUAUAUUCUUGGUUUGUAGAUAAUGUAAUAAUCUGGUCAUCUAACAGGAUUGUGGAUGUUUUACAUGAACAUGCUGUACAUGCAUGCCUCCUAUCUGUCUGUGACAGUACUGCAGACUGCAUAUGAUUUGCAAGCCGUGGGGUUUGGAAGGCCAGAUUUGCUGGCAACUUUUCCUGCAAUAAAGUUUCAUAUGACUGUAAAAACCA